rfam:Triticum aestivum genome assembly, contig: Triticum_aestivum_CS42_TGACv1_scaffold_513678_6BS
CAUGUACUCCCUCCGUUCGAAAUUACUUGUCUUGAAAAUGGAUGUAUCUAGAACUAAAAUACAUCUAGGUACAUCCAUUUUCGCGACAAGUAAUUCCGAACGGAGGGAGUAGCUG